CGGUACAUGGGUUGCGAAGAUCACUCCGCACUGACAUACAUCCCCCUGGUUGUGGGACCGGUGACGGUAAGACGAGACCGGCGAAGGCAGUUGUGAGGAAACGAAAAGAUCGUUGAGCCGUUGAUGAUCACAAAGCUUAUGGGGUAGUUGGACGACGUGUUAUUGUUCAGCGUUCAGCUAGCGGAUAAAACUUUGAUAACAUUUUUUGGACAUAAAAGACUGACAGAUUUUUGGAGAGCAUACAUGGCAGCAGAUUUUUGGAGGGCAUAUAUGUUAACAGCUGA